UGAACAAAAACCAGAGGAGGAAACCCGACCGAGAGGCGGGGCCAAAGGCGAGCCCGCCCCCGCCGCCUGUUUAGAGGGAGCCGAGCGCGCCGGUCGCGGGGAAGGUGAGUCUGAAGGCGAGCCCCUCGGAUUCGUCCCGGCCGCGCCCGGCGGGGGUCAGGGGAAGGCUCCCGCGGGCGGCCGACAUCCUGGAUGGAGCACGUCUACGGACUGACCCGGUUCGUGAAAAGAGCAAAGAUUUGGAAAAGCUGAAAACAUUGUUCAUUCGAUCUAAGCAGAGAAGCCCAGAAAAUCUCGGAGAGGUGUGGUGGCUGGCCCCAGUUUCCUGACUAUGGUAGAGAUAAAAUGGUUCUGGGAUCUGCCCAACAUUUUCACCAAAGUUAUUCUUGUAAGUUUUGCCUACAGGCUAUUUCACUAACCUUUCUAAAGAUUCUAUAAUCCAGAGAUCCCCAACCUCUGGGCCACAGACCAGUACCUCCUGUUAGAUCAGUGUUGGUAUUAGAUUACAAAAAAGUGCGCAAUAAAUGUAAUGCAUUUGAAUCAUCC
rnacentral:lncRNA from 1 species